UACGUAGGGUGCAAGCGUUAAUCGGAAUUACUGGGCGUAAAGCGUGCGCAGGCGGUUUUGUAAGUCUGUCGUGAAAUCCCCGGGGCUUAACCUGGGAAUUGCGAUGGAGACUGCAAGGCUGGAGUCUGGCAGAGGGGGGGUAGAAUUCCACGUGUAGCAGUGAAAUGCGUAGAGAUGUGGAGGAACGACCGAUGGCGAAGGCAGCCCCUGGGUCAAGACUGACGCUCAUGCACGAAAGCGUGGGG
rnacentral:rRNA from 1 species